rnacentral:rRNA from 1 species
UACGGAGGGGGCUAGCGUUGUUCGGAAUUACUGGGCGUAAAGCGCGCGUAGGCGGCUUUUGUAAGUUAGAGGUGAAAGCCCGGGGGCUCAACUCCGGAAUUGCCUUUAAGACUGCAUCGCUAGAAUUGUGGAGAGGUAAGUGGAAUUCCGAGUGUAGAGGUGAAAUUCGUAGAUAUUCGGAAGAACACCAGUGGCGAAGGCGACUUACUGGACACAUAUUGACGCUGAGGUGCGAAAAGCGUGGGGGAGC